GACGAACGCUGGCGGCGUGCUUAACACAUGCAAGUCGAACGGAAAGGCCCUGCUUUUGUGGGGUGCUCGAGUGGCGAACGGGUGAGUAACACGUGAGUAACCUGCCCUUGACUUUGGGAUAACUUCAGGAAACUGGGGCUAAUACCGGAUAGGAGCUCCUGCUGCAUGGUGGGGGUUGGAAAGUUUCGGCGGUUGGGGAUGGACUCGCGGCUUAUCAGCUUGUUGGUGGGGUAGUGGCUUACCAAGGCUUUGACGGGUAGCCGGCCUGAGAGGGUGACCGGCCACAUUGGGACUGAGAUACGGCACAGACUCCUACGGGAGGUAGCAGUGGGGAAUAUUGCACAAUGGGCGGAAGCCUGAUGCAGCAACGCCGCGUGCGGGAUGACGGCCUUCGGGUUGUAAACCGCUUUCGCCUGUGACGAAGCGUGAGUGACGGUAAUGGGUAAAGAAGCACCGGCUAACUACGUG
rnacentral:rRNA from 1 species